rnacentral:rRNA from 1 species
UGGGGAAUAUUGGACAAUGGGCGAAAGCCUGAUCCAGCCAUGCCGCGUGAGUGACGAAGGCCUUAGGGUUGUAAAACUCUUUCGUCGGGGACGAUAAUGACGGUACCCGAAGAAGAAGCUCCGGCUAACUUCGUGCCAGCAGCCGCGGUAAUACGAAGGGAGCUAGCGUUGUUCGGAAUCACUGGGCGUAAAGCGCACGUAGGCGGAUAGUUAAGUCAGGGGUGAAAUCCUGGGGCUCAACCCCAGAACUGCCUUUGAUACUGGCUGUCUCGAGGUCGAGAGAGGUUGGUGGAAUUCCUAGUGUAGAGGUGAAAUUCGUAGAUAUUAGGAAGAACACCGGUGGCGAAGGCGGCCCACUGGAUCGGUACUGACGCUGAGGUGCGAAAGCGUGGGGAGCAAACAGGAUUAGAUACCCAUGUAGUCCCUGAGCGGGCUGGCAAGGCGCAU